rnacentral:SRP_RNA from 11 species
CUGCGGCGUGAACCCGCCCAGGUUCGGCAGGAAG